rnacentral:SRP_RNA from 1 species
GCCGAGCUGAGUUACGCCAGCUUGUGACCUAAGUGGGGGCACCAGGGUGAUGGAACAGCUCUUUGGCUUUGCUGGGUUGGGCUGUGGCUGUAAUAUGUUGGCCUGUCCGCUCCAAGUUAAGAGCUAGUGUUGAGAGACUUGAUAUAUUGUGGUACAUGGAAGAUACUACUCAUCAUCAGAGGACCUAUCGCCAUG